GGAAGUAAAAGUCUAACAAGGUCUCCGUAGGUGAACCUGCGGAGGGAUCAUUACAGAGUUCAUGCCCUACCGGGUAGAUCUCCCACCCUAUGUUAUUAUUACUUUGUUGCUUUGGCGGGCCGUUAGGCUCCGGCCCGACUACCGGCCCCGGCUGGUAAGCGCCCGCCAGAGGACCCAAAACCCUGAAUAUUAGUGUCGUCUGAGUACUAUAUAAUAGUUAAAACUUUCAACAACGGAUCUCUUGGUUCUG
rnacentral:misc_RNA from 1 species